CGUUUCCGAAAGCGUACUCUGCACUUCUUCAGGCCAGAAUACGUUUUCCCUUUGGGAAACAGUAUUUUCAGAAAAGGCGUGUUCAGUUUUUCCGGUUGAGGGCCUGUUUGUGAAGAUUUUCUUACAUAUAGGUCCCUGGCAGAAAAACUAUCACAAAUUUUUGCCCGUAACUCCGAUUGAGGUGAUUCCAAAGCCCACUUCUUCGUCGCGUCGAGCCCGUACUGUUGGUAUCAUUUUCACCAUGUGUUAACAUUCUGAAAAUGACCAUUAUGCCCUUGCCCUUUUUCAGCCCCCUCCGAGAGGAACGUUUUUCGGCGAUUCUUUCCGCGAGUUUCUCGCACUUCCUCCCAAUGAAUCCAUCCUUCCUAGGCAAGCCACACCCUCCAUUUGCCUGAUUGCAAUGCAGUGACAUGGUUUAAAUUAUUUGAACUUGUUUAAAAUAUUGUUUUAGCUACAUGUGAUCUGUUCAUGGCAUUUCUCGGAGUUGUUUUUGAUCUUGCUAGUGUCAUGAUAUUCUUUGGAGUUCUAAGUUUAAUAUUUUGCAUCUUAUGUGGAUGACAUGUUGCCUUUGGAUUAUUAGUGGCUAGAAUUAUUUUCAUCAUGAUGAUAGUUGCUAUUAUGUUUGGAGCAUGAUGUAGUAAAUGAUGCUUGCAUGUGGAUCUUAGCUGGAUAGCGUGUUCUUGACAUUUGAGUAGUAGUAUUAUCGUUCUUGGAUUCAACAUGAUAGAAGUGUUAUGCCAUCCUCGGAGUAGUUUGAUAUGUCGAUAUUAUGCUUUGGAUUAGUUGUUGGAUAUUGCUAUGACUUGGAUUACAGGUUGAUAGAUGAGAUCGGAGUAUCAGUUAUCACUGUUAUAUUUUUAGGGAUAAAUUCCAUCAUUAAGUUGGUCGCUCGUCUCUUCUUGUCCGUGCUCCCUUGGCCUCCUCUGCCUCGUGAGACCCUCCACUGCUCCUCCUCCGUCGCCUACCUCCGAGCUCAUGCGNNNNNNNNNNGUGCACACGCGUCCGCGGCGAUGCCAGUACGGCACCUCGCCCCGCGCCUAUUUAAGGCCUCCCCGACCCCGUCUCUCUUCACCACCGGCCUCCCAUCCUCCUAUGAUCCUGCCUCGUCCCUUACCCGAGCCCCAGAGCUCCUCUUGCUCGUCCAUUGCCGCCGUGGCUGCCUCGGGCCUCCGGCUAAAUUCACUCGAGCCCGAGCCUCUCUCUUCAUUCCAUCACCACCAGAGAUCCACCCAGUCUCCGGCGAGCCUCCCCUGCCGUUUGCCCCUUCCUCCGGUGGCCUCUGGCCGUGACUCCAUCACUGGCCUGAGUUGCUGUCCGCCAUGGCCGAAGCCCUGCCCGUCUCGGUGCUCCUCGGCGUCCGUGUCUAGCCAGGACAGAGGUGGCGCUCUCUCCCGCGCUCGUCGGUGGUCGCUGCGUCCUGCGCGGUGGCCGGAGCUGUGAGAAUGGCCGCCGGCGCCGGCGACCCCGCCCCCUGUUCUGCGCCGCAUCGGGGAAGGAGGAGUGGGAGAGAAAGAUGUCAGCAGCGGGGCCCACCUGGCAGCGAGUCAGCACCAGUCCCGCCUCUACUGACUAGGAUAAGUGGAAGUGUAUUCCACUGGAAUACGUCUUCCGUUUCCGAAAACGCAGUCUGCUCUUCUUCAGGCAAGAAUACGUUUUCCCUUUGGGAAACAGUAUUUUCAGAAAAGGCGUGUUCAGUUUUUCCGGUUCAGGGCCUGUUUGUGAAGAUUUUCUUACAUAUAGGUCCCUGGCAGAAAAACUAUCACAAAUUUUUGCCCGUAACUCCGAUUGAGGUGAUUCCAAAGCCCACUUCUUCGUCGCGUCGAGCCCGUACUGUUGGUAUCAUUUUCACCAUGUGUUAACAUUCUGAAAAUGACCAUUAUUCCCUUGCCCUUUUUCAGCCCCCUCCGAGAGGAACGUUUUUCGGCGAUUCUUUCCGCGAGUUUCUCGCACUUCCUCCCAAUGAAUCCAUCCUUCCUAGGCAAGCCACACCCUCCAUUUGCCUGAUUGCAAUGCAGUGACAUGGUUUAAAUUAUUUGAACUUGUUUAAAAUAUUGUUUUAGCUACAUGUGAUCUGUUCAUGGCAUUUCUCGGAGUUGUUUUUGAUCUUGCUAGUGUCAUGAUAUUCUUUGGAGUUCUAAGUUUAAUAUUUUGCAUCUUAUGUGGAUGACAUGUUGCCUUUGGAUUAUUAGUGGCUAGAAUUAUUUUCAUCAUGAUGAUAGUUGCUAUUAUGUUUGGAGCAUGAUGUAGUAAAUGAUGCUUGCAUGUGGAUCUUAGCUGGAUAGCGUGUUCUUGACAUUUGAGUAGUAGUAUUAUCGUUCUUGGAUUCAACAUGAUAGAAGUGUUAUGCCAUCCUCGGAGUAGUUUGAUAUGUCGAUAUUAUGCUUUGGAUUAGUUGUUGGAUAUUGCUAUGACUUGGAUUACAGGUUGAUAGAUGAGAUCGGAGUAUCAGUUAUCACUGUUAUAUUUUUAGGGAUAAAUUCCAUCAUUAAGUUGGUCGCUCGUCUCUUCUUGUCCGUGCUCCCUUGGCCUCCUCUGCCUCGUGAGACCCUCCACUGCUCCUCCUCCGUCGCCUACCUCCGAGCUCAUGCGNNNNNNNNNNGUGCACACGCGUCCGCGGCGAUGCCAGUACGGCACCUCGCCCCGCGCCUAUUUAAGGCCUCCCCGACCCCGUCUCUCUUCACCACCGGCCUCCCAUCCUCCUAUGAUCCUGCCUCGUCCCUUACCCGAGCCCCAGAGCUCCUCUUGCUCGUCCAUUGCCGCCGUGGCUGCCUCGGGCCUCCGGCUAAAUUCACUCGAGCCCGAGCCUCUCUCUUCAUUCCAUCACCACCAGAGAUCCACCCAGUCUCCGGCGAGCCUCCCCUGCCGUUUGCCCCUUCCUCCGGUGGCCUCUGGCCGUGACUCCAUCACUGGCCUGAGUUGCUGUCCGCCAUGGCCGAAGCCCUGCCCGUCUCGGUGCUCCUCGGCGUCCGUGUCUAGCCAGGACAGAGGUGGCGCUCUCUCCCGCGCUCGUCGGUGGUCGCUGCGUCCUGCGCGGUGGCCUGAGCUGUGAGAAUGGCCGCCGGCGCCGGCGACCCCGCCCCCUGUUCUGCGCCGCAUCAGGGAAGGAGGAGUGGGAGAGAAAGAUGUCAGCAGCGGGGCCCACCUGGCAGCGAGUCAGCACCAGUCCCGCCUCUACUGACUAGGAUAAGUGGAAGUGUAUUCCACUGGAAUACGUCUUCCGUUUCCGAAAACGCAGUUUGCUCUUCUUCAGGCCAGAAUACGUUUUCCCUUUGGGAAACAGUAUUUUCAGAAAAGGCGUGUUCAGUUUUUCCGGUUCAGGGCCUGUUUGUGAAGAUUUUCUUACAUAUAGGUCCCUGGCAGAAAAACUAUCACAAAUUUUUGCCCGUAACUCCGAUUGAGGUGAUUCCAAAGCCCACUUCUUCGUCGCGUCGAGCCCGUACUGUUGGUAUCAUUUUCACCAUGUGUUAACAUUCUGAAAAUGACCAUUAUGCCCUUGCCCUUUUUCAGCCCCCUCCGAGAGGAACGUUUUUCGGCGAUUCUUUCCGCGAGUUUCUCGCACUUCCUCCCAAUGAAUCCAUCCUUCCUAGGCAAGCCACACCCUCCAUUUGCCUGAUUGCAAUGCAGUGACAUGGUUUAAAUUAUUUGAACUUGUUUAAAAUAUUGUUUUAGCUACAUGUGAUCUGUUCAUGGCAUUUCUCGGAGUUGUUUUUGAUCUUGCUAGUGUCAUGAUAUUCUUUGGAGUUCUAAGUUUAAUAUUUUGCAUCUUAUGUGGAUGACAUGUUGCCUUUGGAUUAUUAGUGGCUAGAAUUAUUUUCAUCAUGAUGAUAGUUGCUAUUAUGUUUGGAGCAUGAUGUAGUAAAUGAUGCUUGCAUGUGGAUCUUAGCUGGAUAGCGUGUUCUUGACAUUUGAGUAGUAGUAUUAUCGUUCUUGGAUUCAACAUGAUAGAAGUGUUAUGCCAUCCUCGGAGUAGUUUGAUAUGUCGAUAUUAUGCUUUGGAUUAGUUGUUGGAUAUUGCUAUGACUUGGAUUACAGGUUGAUAGAUGAGAUCGGAGUAUCAGUUAUCACUGUUAUAUUUUUGGGGAUAAAUUCCGUCAUUAAGUUUGUCAGGUGCCACUGAAACGGGCUUUUUCCAGUGCAACCACAUUUGCCUUUUAUGGGAAGGCCCUAAUGCGGUCUAUUGUCAUUUCUCUCGCCGGUGCCUCCAACGAGGGAAGGUUAUGGGCGUGCGGUACCCUGGCCCGGUAAGCAGACAUAACCUUGUGUGCCCGUAGUUGUUGUUAGGCGCCUUUUUGUCCCUGUUUGGGACCUUUUUGUUUUGCCACGACGGUGGCCGUUGAUGCCUUUGGUAGGCACGGGGCCACCCAGGACUGAACCCAAAAGGGGUGUUGGUCGGAGUGGCCGGGAAAGUGUCAUGGCAGUAGGUCGGUUUUGUCGGAACGCCGUUGGUCCACCCGAAUGGGAGUGCGAGGCCAUGGGUUCUGUGGUGUGGGUAAAGUGCGCUACCUCUGCAGAGAGUGUGUGUUUAACCUAUCGAUAGCCGCGUCCUCGACCAUGGGCACAAGUUCGUACUAGGUCACACCGUUUGAUCAACACUCACAUGACGGAAUGACUUAUAGAUGAUUUAUUUGUUGAUAUAUUGUGAGCAGUACAGUUUGGCGGGAUGUUGAUGGUGAUGUUGGUAUGAUCUCGAGGAUGAUCAUUCAUUUGUGAUGUGGUCACGAGGUGAUCACGUGGAUGCUUUGAUCACGAGGUGAUCACGUGGAUGCUUUGGAUCACAAGGUGAUCAGGUGGAUCACGAGGUGAUCGAGAUGGUAUAUUACUUGGCCGGUUAGCCAAGAGUGAGAUGGUUGUUGAGAUCUAAGAUGGUGGUUUAUUAGUAUUGCAGUAGUUUCAUAUCAUGCUUAGUAGAUGCUUUCUUAUCAUGGUAGGAGUUAAUUUAAUUAACCUGUUUAAUGCUAUGUUGUUGUCUUGCCUUGAUGCUUUUGGUUGUUUUGAGCUUGCAAGUACAUUCAAUGUACUGACCUGGUGUGUCAUGCCAGAUUGCAGGUGAUGCUCUGAUUGAUUGAUAGCUUGUCGAGGUUACCGCGCGUGCGAGCUAGAUCGUGUCCCAGCCAGAGUCCCUGCGGAGUGGAGUUCACCACCUUCGUCGUUGUUCCGCUGCUAGAUGUAUUCCACUGCUACUAGUUGUUUCGCUGCUAGCAUAGAGCAAGUGUAGUAUCACAGGCGUAGUGUCGCCAUGUUGAUGUGAUCCUUUGUAACAUCAGACACUUGUAUCAUUAUCCUUUGUAAUAAUAGUUGAUUUGUUCUAUGUCAAGCAGUGCCGUAUUCCAGAG
rnacentral:lncRNA from 1 species